AUUCCAGCACUGUUUUGUUUAACAUAAGACUCUUUAACGCGGGUAAAUAUAUUAGACAUUUCUUGGUGGCACAUGUCAGUUAAAGUGGCAAUAAUGGUUUGGCAAAGAUUGUUCUCUAAUUCAAUUAGAUUAACUGAUAAAUUGCUACACAUGGUAUUUGUUAAAUGUUUCCCCAUAUAAAAAGUAGUUCAGAACCUGUUCCAGGUUGCAUUACUUCUAGAUUUUUUGAUGUUGCACAUUUUCUGUGCAUUUAAUUACCAUGUACUAUAAUUCUCCAAGAUUUGUAGAUUCAUUUAAGAUAUAAUAAGUAUUUUUCUUAUGUCCAGUAGUUCCGAAUAUAAUUUAAAACUCAGAAUGGUUUCGUGGUCCAUCCUUUACUUUGAAAAAUACAAUUUUCAAAAAUUUCUGAUUUCCAAAUAAUUAUUGAGUCGAUUUGAAACUCUACGAUGAUUGAAUUACUUGGUAAUUUGUAAGUGAAACUAUAUUGUAUGUUCAUCACUACUUAUAUAUUCUCUUUACUGUGAUGUGUGCUUAAGUGUUUUUUGUUUGUAGAACAUGUUCGUUUCGUGCUUGGGCAGGAUUCGGAAAUGCGUUGUCAAUAUCCACGCGGUCAACGCUGCACCUGAGAGCCAGACUAGCUUAACGAGCCACGUGUUCGUAACUCCAACGAGGGUAUACAUAUAUCUAUGUCGUCGCCUGACAUACCUAUAUCAUUAUUAAUACUGAAACUCGAGGGAUCCGCUUGCCCUCGCGCACGCUAUCGAUGGGUUUUUCUAUCAUACGAGAGAAGCGUGGACAAAGCGUAUUACCCUGAGUAUCCGAAAUUAUAGAUAACUAAACUUAAAUAAACGUUGCCGAAGAGUGGAUUAUUUACGACACUCUGACUGUCAGCCUCUCGCGGCGGAUAUUGGUAUAUUUCUUUCUUUUUUCCUUUUAUCAACGCUACGGAAAAUUGAGCGAUAAGAACAAACGAACUAGUUC
rnacentral:lncRNA from 1 species